rnacentral:rRNA from 1 species
UACGUAGGGUGCGAGCGUUAAUCGGAAUUACUGGGCGUAAAGUGUGCGCAGGUGGCUGAGCAAGUCGAGUGUGAAAUCCCCGGGCUUAACUUGGGAAUUGCGCUCGAAACUACUUGGCUCGAGUGUGGCAGAGGAAGGUGGAAUUCCAGGUGUAGCGGUGAAAUGCGUAGAGAUCUGGAGGAACACCAGUGGCGCAGGCGGUGUCCUGGGACGUACCUGACGCUGAGACGCGAAAGCAUGGGGAGCGAACGGG